AAUAAACGCUGGCGGCGUGCCUAACACAUGCAAGUCGAGCGAGAAAGCUCCUUCGGGAGUGAGUACAGCGGCGAACGGGUGAGCAACGCGUGGGAAUCUACCCUUCAGUGAAGAAUACCCUUGAGAAAUCGAGGUUAAUACUGCAUACGUCCUGUAAAGGAGAAAGAUGGCCUCUUUGCUGUCGUUGAAGGACGAGCCUGCGUACUAUUAGCUAGUUGGUAGGGUAACGGCCUACCAAGGCGAUGAUGGUUAGCCGGCCUGAGAGGGUGUACGGUCACACUGGAACUUAGACACGGCCCAGACUCCUACGGGAGGCAGCAGUGGGGAAGUUUGGACAAUGGGCGCAAGCCUGAUCCAGCAAUGCCGCGUGCAGGAAGAAGGCCUUCGGGUUGUAAACUGCUUUUGUACGGAACGAAAAGGUCUGGGUUAAUACCCUGGGCACAUGACGGUACCGUAAGAAUAAGCACCGGCUAACUACGUGCCAGCAGCCGCCGUAA
rnacentral:rRNA from 1 species